CUCUUCUCCUCUCCUCUGCCGCCACCACAGAGCCGACGCCGACCUUGUGAGCCGACGCCGACUGUCGGCCCUCUUUCUGAUUUCUGUGACAGUGAGCCCUAGCGCCGAUUUUUCUUCUCCUCUUCCGAGUUUAGGUUGCCUCCAAGUUGUGCUGUUCGGGGGAGUUAGUAAUUAGGGUUUGCUGUUGGUUGUCUUGGCUUCGGCAGCCAUUUUCCAGCGGCUACCUUUCUCUGGUAGCAACAUCCCUGCUGUGGGUGAGUGUAGGGGAAUCUUGAAGAGAAGUGUUUACUGUAAGUUUUCUUGGAUUUGGCAGCUACUUUCAUCCAGCAGCAAGGAACCGCUGUGGAGGUUAAGGACCUUGACGCGAGACGAGUAUCUCGGAGUCAGAUUGGACCUUUCUAUUUUCGGAGG